GUCCUAGCCGUAACGAUGGACACUAGGUGUUGGUGGUAUCAACCCGCCAGUGCCGAAGCUAACGCAUUAAGUGUCCCGCCUGGGAGUACGGCCGCAAGGCUAAACUCAAAGGAAUUGACGGGGCCCGCACAAGCAGCGGAGCGUGGGGUUUAAUUCGACGCAACGCGAAGAACCUUACCAGGACUUGACAUGACCAGGACACCGGCGGAAACGUCGGCUCCCCGCAAGGGGCCUGGCCACAGGUGUUGCAUGGCUGUCGU
rnacentral:rRNA from 1 species